rnacentral:lncRNA from 1 species
UGAUAAUAAGUUUAUAUACAUGCGAUUAAUAAUAAUAUUUAUAAGAAUAAUUAUAUAUAUGGUGGAUAAAUAUGUAUAUAUUUGACUUAGUCUGGUACCAUGGAAUCAUGAACCUCUCUCCUCUCUCCGUUUUCUCUCCAAAAAACUUUUUACAGAGGUGACGUUGAGAGGGGUUCAUGAUUACGCCGGUUCCUUCUCUGCCUCUGAUUCCCGGUGAUCGGGUUUCGACUCUGGCAAGCGGCAGAUUCUUCAGCGACAACUUGACCGGCUUCUUUUUCAGCAGGCGAUGGCUCCUUCAGCGUUGCUUGGCUGGCUCUACCUCCGGCGUCACACCUUUCUUUCCGGUGCGGCGGUUGGCUUCUCGUCGGUUUAUCCCACUUUUAUAUUUUGUUUUUUUAUUUGUUUUCUUUCUCUGUUCCUCGCCUCCAUGUCCUCUCACAGAUUCAGUUUGAGUUUCGAUCUUCAUCGGAAUAGGUCUUCCUUCCCCUAUUAUGGGAUUGGUUCAUCUUCGGUCUUAUUAGAAUCAAUAAAAAUGAUCUGUUGUGGAUUAGGAGUUUCUGAUGACUUAGAUCGAUUUCCUUCAACUAAAUCACUUUCAUCUUUGAUGUGAUGGCAUCUCGCCUUUUUCUGCUUGUGUCGUUGUUAGAUGUGUCGCCCGUGCAUCCUAUUCCGGUAUGUUUCCGUGGAUACCGAUUUGACUUCCGACGACGACUUCAAUGGCGGUGUAAGGAGCUGAUGUAAUCCUCUCUCCGCGCGUUUCUCUUCUUCGUUUUCGUGAGUAGACGUGGUGUCGAUCAAGAUCAGUUGUUGGGCUCCCUUGUUGGGCUUUCUCGGCUGGAUUUUUGUUUUAUCCCUUUAAUUAUUUGUUAAUUUUGCCAUUUUAAUGGACUUUUUUGUAAAUUUGGCAUUUGUUAAUAAAAUACCAGUGGCAAAAAAAACAGAGGCUCUGGCAUGAUUAGAUACUUCGCUGGAUUGCGCUAGCGUACGACGUACAUACAGCAAAGCAACCGUCUCCACCCACUAACUGCUUGACAGCUCACCAGAAAACUCCACUAGUCUGCUUGUCUACAGUAGACCUGUCACACAUGAUUACACCAAACGUGCAUUACUUCUUCCGUUACUGCACCCUGAACUUCCGAAAAAUCCUACAAUAACCCCAAAUAUUUAUAAUCUGAUCAACUUUUACCCACAUCAAUCAACUUAUUUGCUAUAACCAAGGGUGAUAACUGUAAAUAUAUAAAAUGCAGGGUCUAAAACUAUAAACAAAAUAAAAUAAUAUCCACCAAAUUUUUAUUUUAUUUUUUUUCCGAGCAGCAAUCAACUUCUUUUAGCUGUUCUCCAGAAACACUUUCAAUCUCCUUCGGAAAGAAAAAGAAGAAGAAGAAGCAGACUCGGUUUAGCUUUUGUAAGAGAAGCAAAAGUGAUAAAUCUCUGAGCUUUAAACUUUUUUAAUCUGAUCUUGAGAGAUGGCGGUUGCUCCGGCGAGAGCUCGUUCGGACUAUGAUUACCUCAUCAAGCUCCUUCUCAUCGGCGACAGCGGUAAGCUUCUUCUUCUUCUUCUUCUCUCUCUCUUUAGUACAUAAAGUAAGCAACUUUGAAAACUUACAUGUGCUCGAUUGCUUUCUCCGACAACAUCUCGUACCUGUCUUUUUGCGAUUUUA